rnacentral:rRNA from 1 species
UACGUAGGGUACGAGCGUUAAUCGGAAUUACUGGGCGUAAAGCGUGCGCAGGCGGUUUUGUAAGCCAGAUGUGAAAUCCCCGGGCUUAACCUGGGAAUGGCAUUUGGGACUGCAAGGCUUGAGUGCGGCAGAGGAGACUGGAAUUCCUGGUGUAGCAGUGAAAUGCGUAGAUAUCAGGAGGAACACCGAUGGCGAAGGCAGUGUCCUGGGGAGUACCUGACGCUCAGGUGCGAAAGCCAGGGAGCGAACGGG